CUUGCUUGGCCUCUUGUGAGUCCUGGAGGGAACGCUGCAGUGGGGGCUAGUUGUGGGCAGAAUAAAGGUGGUUUCUGGAAAUAUGGAUUCCUGCCAGAGUGAGUGCUGCUUAGGUCUGUACAACGGACACUUGGUCAUGUGUACGCUAAACUUCUUUGUGCCUGAGAAUCUCUCUCCUGCAGCUUCCAGAUGCAGGGAUUGGUACUGAGGAAAGGCCAUGUGGGCAGGCAGCAAGAAGGCAGCCAUCUGGAAGCUAGGAAGAAAAUCCUUACCAGAACCCAACCAUUUUGGCACCCUAAUCUCAGACUUCCAGCCUCCUCGAAGAAAAUAAACUGCUGAACACCAUGUGGAAGCUGCUAAGGCUUAUGGCUUACAUUCUUUGAGGCAGUGACCUGACAUGUAACUGGAUCCCGUUUAGCCAUGGUUGAAGUUGGAUACUCCUUGCUCCUCAGAUUGCAGACGGCCUAUUGUGGGACCUUGUGAUCAUCAAGGCAAGAAGGCCUGACACGUUCAAUGUGCUCUAACCUCCUGCCAAGUAGUGUGCAAGGUUCAAGAGAUGGAAAAUUGGAAGCGAAAGUCCUUGGAGAAGCUCUCAUUCAACUGAAAGCAAAUAUGGAACAGAUAAGAAGGCAAGAAAAGGAUCAUCACAAAUAUAGCCUGACUGGAUGCUGUUUAGAGCAGUAGCUAUUCUAUAUCCUCACAUUCUCAGGUUCUAUAAUCUGAAAAUAGCUAAAUAAAAAUAAUAGCUGAGCCCAAACCACUGAGGUUGGUGUCAAUUCUUUCAUUACAAGAAACUAUCUCAGGGGCUGUUGAAUAAAAAUAAUGAUUUUAUUUUAUUCCCCCCCCAAACCCAUUAAAACACUAAUAAAGGGAAUUUUAAAAUAUACAAACUCAAAAAAAGAUGUGAAGGAUUGUAGAAAAGAGAAUAGCAACAAAAGUUUGGACCAAAAGAAAAUAAAUAAGUGAAUUUAAAAGACCCCCCCCACCCACCUACCCCAAAUAAAUUCUAUAUUCAU
rnacentral:lncRNA from 10 species